AACAACCAUGUUGCAUAAUGUCAUUCUUUCUUCCAUAGUCAAGCUUUCAACUGUCGUGCCAACAAACUCCAUUGCUUUAUAAGUAGCACCAGCCACUGAAAUUUCACCAAUAAUUUGCAAAAUUAAGUCCUUAGCAAGCAAGUAAUCAGGCAUUUCACCAUCCAUUACAAAUCUCAAAGUUGGAGGCACCUUGAGCAGAAUCUUGCCAGUACCCAACACAAAACCUGCAUCAGUAUUGCCAAUUCCAGUGGCGAAUUGCCCGAAAGCUCCAGCAGUACAUGUGUGGGAGUCUGUACCCAGCAAAACCUCUCCAGGUCUGCAGUGACCUUCUUGUGCAAGAGCAACGUGGCAGACACCCUUGUAAUCAGGAUUAGCACGGAAGUUCCCCAAAUCUUUAAUGUCAUAGAAGUACUUAAUAUUUUGUUCAUUGCAGAAAUCCCUCAAGAUAUCCACGUUACGGUUUGCUCGUUCGUCGGUUGUGAAUAUGUAAUGGUCAGGUAUAAUGACAAGCUUUUCACGAUCCCAGACCUUAGCAUUCUGUCCAAACUCUUUCUUGAAAAUUCCAAUAGAGCCAGGGCCACAAACAUCAUGAGUCAUCAGAACAUCAACAUUCACCCAGACAUUAUCACCAGGGCUCACAUCAGGCUUAUCAGAAGCCUUAGCUAAUAUCUUCUCAGUCAUAGUCAUACCAGUCUUUACUGAUCCAGUUGUGGCAGGUUUUCUUUCAGUCUGCUGAGGUGUCAUCACAGAAACAAUUCUCUUGGAUAUCCUUUUCCGAGCAGUUUGAACGGAAAAUGAAGCUUGUGAAGAGAAGGCAGAUAGACCCACAUCUUUCUUAUUGAUGAAAGUUGUAGAACUUGAAGCUAUAGCUGAAGACGCCGCCAUUGCUAACAGAUUUGUUCUGCUAAAUCUUAAGGGGUCGAAGAGAAGAAGAAGUUAUAGCCCAAAUAAAU
rnacentral:misc_RNA from 1 species